ensembl:lncRNA
AAAAACAAUAUAUUGAUUUAAAUUUUCUAAGACACUUUUUGUUGGUAAAAGUCAUAUGCGAAUAAAUCUAUAUAAUUUUAUGUUUGUAGUUUAUUUAGAAUAUAUUUAAUUAUCCCACAACAU